GUUGGACUUGGAGACCUUAGACUUUCCAACCUUAACGAUUCUCUGAUUCUAUUGGCUUGUUGGGUGUAUGUCAGUGGUUGGGCUUAAUGACCUUGAAGGUCAUUUCCAACCUUAACAAUUCUCUGAUUCUCUUCUAGAAUGUAAAUUUCACCUCUGAAGGGAGGCUGUGUUUUGCUCAGCCUUGUUUAAACCCAUUGAAAUUUUCAAUCUGAUUCAUUUUGUUUUUUCACCUCCCAGAGGCCGAGCUCUCUGGAAACCACCGUCCCAUGUUGCCCAUCCCACUGAAAACAAUUUACCCCUCCCUGUAGAGGAGGGGAAUGUGUGACAUUGGCUCUGCUUUAUCAGCUGGGAAAGCCCCAGUGUGAGCUGAGCUCUGUGCGUGCAGACGGAAGGAGGCACAGGAAACGCGGCUGAGGCUGCAAGGUUACUCGGCAUGCGGCCCCGUGACGCCUGGUGUUGGGUGGCCAUGCUGCUGCUCGCCCUGUUCAGCAACACUGCUGGAGGCCGACGUGGAGCUGGAGGAAGAGCUGGGGGACGAGGAGGAGGAGGAGGCGGUGGAGGAGGAGGGCUACGUGGGGGCUUUCGGUCCAUCUCCCGUGGAGGCAACACUGCAGGCCGAGGCUCCAAGAUGGCGAGUGCCAUCGCAGCCGGUGCUG
rnacentral:lncRNA from 1 species